UACGUAGGGUGCGAGCGUUAAUCGGAAUUACUGGGCGUAAAGCGUGCGCAGGCGGCGCGUUAAGACAGGUGUGAAAGCCCCCGAGCUUAACUUGGGAAUUGCGCUUGUGACUGGCGUGCUGGAGUGUGGCAGAGGGAGGUGGAAUUCCACGUGUAGCAGUGAAAUGCGUAGAGAUGUGGAGGAACACCGAUGGCGAAGGCAGCCUCCUGGGCCAGCACUGACGCUCAUGCACGAAGACGUGGGGAGCAAACAGG
rnacentral:rRNA from 1 species